GAAACCGCUCCGUGCCGACUGAGCCGACGGAGGGAGAUGAUAGAGGAGUCAGCCGUGACUGAGGGAGUGAUCUUCUCUGCGUGUACGUCACAGACACAAACAUGCUGUAAUUUUCUCCUGUCAGAGGAUUUGAUCUGUUGCUGCGGUGACAGAAUCAUCCGAGGCAUCAACAGUUUAUUGUCUUUGCAAUGCUGAGAACCGAUCAGAUUAUCAUGAAAGUCCAGUGAAAUCAUCUCACACCUCGAUUCUCCUUCGAUGCACUUUUACCUGUCGCUCUGAUUGGGCCUCAACCUUCACCUAGAGGCUGCCAGAACUCCAAAACCGAAGAGACUGGAUUCACCUCAGAAACGACUGCAGGGGGAGGAGGAGUGUGAAUCUCUCCGAAAAUGUAGAAUCUCCACUCGCUGCAACCGAACAGCGAAUGUGCUGACGUGUGGAAGAGGAAGUGACCAUAUUUGGACAAGAGGGUGGAGCCUGGGAGGAUGUCCUGAUUGGAUCCGAAUGAGAGCCCUGUUACACGCUGUAGUAGCGGCCUGUGAAUCACAAGGAGGCCACGCCCUAAAGCUUUAUCACCUUUAUUACUCUAAAUGGGACUUUAAUUUACUAAAUGAACAUCGUACUGUUUUUAGAAACAAGCAAUUGAGAUCUUAAACCCAUCAUGAAAUGUAAAUCAAGUGAGAGCAAGGGUCCUUCUUUCUCGUAAACUUAGUCUUAAUUGGACUUCCUGUUGAGACCAGUGGAGUCGCCCCCUGCAGGCUGCGAGAGAGAAUGCAGGUUUAAGAAUUCAGUUUUUUCAAAAUCUGGAAGCUUUGUCCAUUACUUAUACAGUCUGUGGUGGCAACUCUGCUUUUCUAGGGAGAAAAAACAGUCAGUUCAAACUUUCCACCUGCUCCAGUCAACAUUUCCAGGGAAGAGCGAUUAUGUUAAAGGCAUAACUGACAACAUUCAGUCUCUAUGUGUGGCUUCAACUUUUCCCGCUUCCUUUGCAUUCACGUUUCAACACCACUGUUGUUCGAAUCAUCUGCCCCCCUGAAGUGGUCGCCAGUUUGUUGUACUAGCUAACGCUCCUGACGCUAGCUAGCAAAUGUUAUCAUUGUUAAGUACUCAUAAUAAUGGUUGUAGGGAAAAGAGAUACUUCAGUUCUUCCUACAAGCUCUGUGUAACUUUUCAUUAGUCCCCAUAUGUGCCUGUUCAGCUGGUUCCAGAUAGAGGUACCAUUAUACUGGAGUCCACUCUUGAACACAGUGUUCCUGCCUGCAGCCAAGCAAUGCUCAAACGCACAGAACUUCACAGUGAAGAUCUCAGACUAAAGUUUUAAGAGAUACCAAAGAUGUCAGGCCGAAUUUUAGGGAGAAGUGCAGUCAUUAAAAACAUUCAGGGGGUUGCAAUUUGUACUCGGCUUCAGGAAGAGUAAGCAAGCUCGUACAGACAAUGGAACCAGUCAGACAGUGUGGAAAAUGAUGAUUGUAACAACACCGAAGCUGCUGAAGGAGAAAUAAGGGGAGAAUCUGUUUAUCAAGUGCACAACAUCGUCAAAAGUAAUAAAAUUUAGUUUGGGUCCAACGUCUUUGAUAAAGCUUUCAUUGAACGAGGUCGUGAAAUGCAGUCAGUAGCUUCCACUGUUACAUUCUGCCCUGGAUUCAAAUAUUCUCUAUAUUCUGCUCGGCUUUCCGCAUUGACACAUCGCUCGACGUGCUGCAUCUCAUAUUGUCUUUUCACGCUUUCCUCCUUUGUCACUCCCGCGAUCUCUGCUUUUUGUAAAUUAUACAUUAAAAUCGAAAUGGACAUACUCUAAACAUCUAGUGCCAGCUAACAUGCGUCACACAAGUAUUUGGCCUCAGACUCUCUUUCUCUGUGCCUUUUUGUCUGCCUCUCUCCUACACACACACACACACACACACACACACACACACACACACACACACACGCCUUCUUUCAUUUCUGUGUCUCUCACUACUUGAGAUGUGGAUCCCAUUCCAGUCAUCUCUCUUUCAUCUCCCUGCCAUUUUCAUUCUCUUUUAUUUUGUUACCCGUUUUUCAACCCCCCUACAAUUUUCAUUCUGCUCCAUCCUCAUCCACCAUGUCCCCGCUCUUGUCUCCACCUUUCUCUGUUGACUGUAUUCCCCCAUCUGUCCUCCUCCUCCUCCUCCUCCUCUUCCUCCUCCUCCUCCUCCUCC